rnacentral:misc_RNA from 1 species
GAUGAAGAACGUAGCGAAUCGCGAUAUGUAGUGUGAUCUGCCUCUAGUGAAUCAUCAAAUCUUUGAACGCAUCUUGCACCCUUUGGUAUUCCAAAGGGUACGCCUGUUUCAGUAUCAUUAUAACCUUUCUCCCCAAGGCUUUUGGCCAAGGAGGGAAAGAGCAUAACCGGUGGCCCAGCGGUCUCCCAUCAGGGGGAUUGUCUCGGCUGGAAUGACUGUUGCAAUGGUGGGCCUAAUGGUCUUCCGCACUUGAUAAAUGUACUUUUAUAAAGAGCGGGGCCGGUCUACCGAAAGUUGUAACUAAACCCUUUACCUUUGAUCUGAAAUCAGGCGGGAUUACCCGCUGAACUUAAGCAUAUCAAUAAGCGGAGGA